UAAUAAGUGUUUUAUGGCACUUUUUAAAUCCAUAUCCACCUUGUGUGCAAUGUCAGUCGAUCUUCUUCAUGGAGAUCGACCAAACAUCAACCUUUAUCUUUUAACUCUUUGUCUGAAAAAUAUUAUGAAUAAAACAAUUCAAAAUAC
rnacentral:misc_RNA from 1 species